GGUAUCCUACGGGGCGCAGCAGUGGGGAAUAUUGCACAAUGGGGGAAACCCUGAUGCAGCAACGCCGCGUGAGUGAAGAAGUAUCUCGGUAUGUAAAGCUCUAUCAGCAGGGAAGAAGAUGACGGUACCUGACUAAGAAGCCCCGGCUAACUACGUGCCAGCAGCCGCGGUAAUACGUAGGGGGCAAGCGUUAUCCGGAUUUACUGGGUGUAAAGGGAGCGUAGACGGUGCAGCAAGUCUGAUGUGAAAGGUCGGGGCCCAACCCCGGGACUGCAUUGGAAACUGUUGAACUGGAGUACAGGAGG
rnacentral:rRNA from 1 species